rnacentral:rRNA from 1 species
ACGCUGGCGGCGUGCUUAACACAUGCAAGUCGAACGGAAAGGCCCCUUUGGGGGUACUCGAGUGGCGAACGGGUGAGUAACACGUGAGUAACCUGCCCUUGACUUCGGGAUAACUUCAGGAAACUGGGGCUAAUACCGGAUAGGAAUCCUUGCUGCAUGGUGGGGGUUGGAAAGCUUCGGCGGUUUUGGAUGGACUCGCGGCUUAUCAGCUUGUUGGUGGGGUAGUGGCUUACCAAGGCUUUGACGGGUAGCCGGCCUGAGAGGGCGACCGGCCACAUUGGGACUGAGAUACGGCCCAGACUCCUACGGGAGGCAGCAGUGGGGAAUAUUGCACAAUGGGCGGAAGCCUGAUGCAGCAACGCCGCGUGCGGGAUGACGGCCUUCGGGUUGUAAACCGCUUUCAGCAGGGGCGAAGCUUGUGGUGACGGUACCUGCAGAAGAAGCACCGGCUAACUACGUG